rnacentral:rRNA from 1 species
GACGAACGCUGGCGGCGUGCUUAACACAUGCAAGUCGAACGGAAAGGCCCUGCUUUUGUGGGGUGCUCGAGUGGCGAACGGGUGAGUAACACGUGAGUAACCUGCCCUUGACUUUGGGAUAACUUCAGGAAACUGGGGCUAAUACCGGAUAGGAGCUCCUGCUGCAUGGUGGGGGUUGGAAAGUUUCGGCGGUUGGGGAUGGACUCGCGGCUUAUCAGCUUGUUGGUGGGGUAGUGGCUUACCAAGGCUUUGACGGGUAGCCGGCCUGAGAGGGUGACCGGCCACAUUGGGACUGAGAUACGGCCCAGACUCCUGCGGGAGGCAGCAGUGGGGAAUAUUGCACAAUGGGCGGAAGCCUGAUGCAGCAGCGCCGCGUGCGGGAUGACGGCCUUCGGGUUGUAAACCGCGUUCGCCUGUGACGAAGCGUGAGUGACGGUAAUGGGUAAAGAAGCACGGGCUAACUACGUG